rnacentral:rRNA from 1 species
UACGUAGGGGGCAAGCGUUGUCCGGAUUUAUUGGGCGUAAAGAGCGUGUAGGCGGCUUUACAGGUCCGUUGUGAAAACUCGAGGCUCAACCUCGAGACGCCGGUGGAAACCGUAAGGCUAGAGUCCGGAAGAGGAGAGUGGAAAUUCCUGGUGUAGCGGUGAAAAUGCGCAGAUAUCAGGAGGAACACCCUGGCGAAAGCGGCUCUCUGGGACGGUACUGACGCUGAGACGCGAA